rnacentral:rRNA from 1 species
UUUUACAGCCAUAUCACCCUGCAGACCAAGACUGGUUGCCCACUGAAGCUAAGCAGGGUUGAGCCUGGUCACAUACUGGUGGUGGUUGAGG